rnacentral:misc_RNA from 1 species
GCAAAUUCCUAUCCUAGAAAUGAGAAAAAUACAAUGUCAUAACAUCUAGCAACAGUACAAUAAGUUUGGCGGAUAUUGACAUCACCUUCAUGAAGAAAAAUGAAACAAUUUACUAGGGACUAUGUCAUGGUUAAGAGAGGGUACCUAUGAAGCUCACUAAAUGGACAUACUAGCUCGAAUUUAGCAGAACUUCCAGCGAUUUUGGCAGUUCACACAUGUCACGUAUGUGGUCAUGGAUUCAUCUGCACUCCGCGUUUGCAUCUGAUAGUAGGUGCAUUGACUCUUCUUACACCUACCACACUUGAACUUAUCAGUACUAGCCUGUACAGGAGCUCCGCGUUCACUAUUGAAUAACGCUUUUUCCUUGAUUUUCUCGUUCUGCUUUUGCCGUUCUUCGCUUGCCAUAUCUUCUGGCGUCAGAUCAGUAAUAGUACUAGGAGGGAACUUCCCCAGAAGAACUUUUCUCCGGAAAUCUUGAUUGUUUUGAUCCUUAAUAUUGAACAUCAUAGACCUGUACUUAAACUUCUGGGCACCAUUAGAUCUACCCCACUUCUCAAACAUGGCAGUCUCUACCUGAACAGCAACUCUAUACGGAUCACAUGCAUUUACCUCAUCCCUCAAUUCCUCGUCAACUUCACCUGAGACUUUGCAUAAAGCCUCUGCAAGGAGUUCCCGAACUUUGUCCCGCACAGAAUCUUUGCAAUAAAUUAGAGCGCCCAACUUUGGCGGAGCAGCACCUACCACAUUAGAGCUACUCUUUUCAGUCUUCAGAACAAUAACACGUUCAACCUUUUUCUCAGCGAAGGCACUUUCUGUGUUUACUACUUCCUCAAUUUUUGAAGUCAUCCUUUCGACCUUAACAUCAUCAACCCUAGACACCUUUUCAACCUUCACCGACUCUGCUCUCUGAGAUUUAGUGGCUCCAUUGGCAGUAGCACCAGCAGAUUCAUCUUUUACAGAUUCCCCAUUCACUCCAUUGCUGUUCUUACUUUUCAGUGUUUCUCUUACGAUUAUAUUCUUCCAGUUCUGAACCACAUCAGAUGCCAAAGCCUGGAUCUUCUCCCUUGGAUGUUUUGUCAAUUGUCGAAGACGCUUACCCACCUGUGUAGAUACGAGAACUUGAUAAUUGACAGGAAACUUCUUAAGCUGCUUCAAAACGUCAAGACACCUACUCUCCUCCGGCGAUGAAUCCGCACCGCCGUCUACCGCAGCUUCAUCCGCGG